rnacentral:rRNA from 1 species
UACGUAGGGUGCAAGCGUUAAUCGGAAUUACUGGGCGCAAAGCGUACGCAGGCGGCUUUGCAAGACAGGUGUGAAAUCCCCGGGCCUAACCUGGGAACUGCAUUUGUGACUGCAUCGCUAGAGUCUGUCAGAGGGGGGUGGAAUUCCACGUGUAGCAGUGAAAUGCGUAGAGAUGUGGAAGAACACCGAUGGCGAAGGCAGCCCCCUGGGAUGAGACUGACGCUCAUGUACGAAAGCGUGGGGAGCAAACAGG